rnacentral:rRNA from 1 species
UACGGGGGGGGCAAGCGUUGUUCGGAAUUACUGGGCGUAAAGGGCUCGUAGGCGGCCAACUAAGUCAGACGUGAAAUCCCUCGGCUUAACCGGGGAACUGCGUCUGAUACUGGAUGGCUAGAGGUUGGGAGAGGGAUGCAGAAUUCCAGGUGUAGCGGUGAAAUGCGUAGAUAUCUGGAGGAACACCGGUGGCGAAGGCGGCAUCCUGGACCAAUUCUGACGCUGAGGAGCGAAAGCCAGGGGAGCAAACGGG